rnacentral:rRNA from 1 species
AACGAACGCUGGCGGCAUGCCUAACACAUGCAAGUCGAACGAGACCUUCGGGUCUAGUGGCGCACGGGUGCGUAACGCGUGGGAACCUGCCCUUAGGUUCGGAAUAACUCCCCGAAAGGGGUGCUAAUACCGGAUAAUGUCUUCGGACCAAAGAUUUAUCGCCUUUGGAUGGGCCCGCGUUGGAUUAGCUAGUUGGUAGGGUAAAAGCCUACCAAGGCGACGAUCCAUAGCUGGUCUGAGAGGAUGAUCAGCCACACUGGGACUGAGACACGGCCCAGACUCCUACGAGAGGCAGCAGUGGGGAAUAUUGGACAAUGGGCGAAAGCCUGAUCCAGCAAUGCCGCGUGAGUGAUGAAGGCCUUAGGGUUGUAAAGCUCUUUUACCCGGGAUGAUAAUGACAGUACCGGGAGAAUAAGCUCCGGCUAACUCC